CCUACGGGUGGCAGCAGUGAGGAAUAUUGGUCAAUGGCCGGAAGGCUGAACCAGCCAAGUCGCGUGAGGGACGACUGCCCUAUGGGUUGUAAACCCUUUUUAUAAGGGAAGAAUAAAUGCUACGUGUAGCAUGAUGCCUGUACCUUAUGAAUAAGCAUCGGCUAACUCUGUGCCAGCAGCCGCGGUAAUAGGGGGGAUGCGAGCGUUAUCCGGAUUUAUUGGGUUAAAAGGGUGCGUAGGGGGUUUUUAAAGUUAAUGGUAAAACGUCGGGGCUUCACCUUGAUUUGCCAUUAAUACUGUAAGACUCGAGUUCAGACGAGGUAGGCGGAAUAAGUUGAGUAGCGGUGAAAUGCGUAGAUAUAA
rnacentral:rRNA from 1 species